rnacentral:rRNA from 1 species
GGGAAACAGCCCCAGACCUACCAUUAAAGGCCCCUAAAUAUUUGCUAAGUGAUAAAGGAUGUAAUAUUACAUAGACAACCAGGAGGUUGGCUUAGAAGCAGCCAUUCCCUUUAAAAAGUGCGUAAUAGCUUACUGGUCAAGUGUUUUUGCGCCGAAAAUGUAUGGGACUAAGUAAAUUGCCGAAACUGUAGGAUAUUUUAUAUCGGUAGAAGAGCGUUUUGUUUUAGUUUGAAGCAAAAGUGUAAACUUUUGUGGACUAAUCAAAAGUGAGAAUGUCGGCUUAAGUAGCGAAAACAUUGGUUGAAAUCCAAUGCUCCGUAAGCCUAAGGUUUCCUUCGCUAGGCUCGUCCGCGAAGGGUUAGUCAGAUCCUAAGAUAAAGUUGAAAAAUUUAGUUGAUGGAUAUCGGGUUAAUAUUCCUGAACUUUAAUAUUGUUUAAUUAAAAAUAACGAAGCAGGCUAUAAUUUAUCCAUAUUUUGGUUUUUGGUUUAAUUCCCGAGGCGUUGAUAAAUAUUAGAAAAAAUAUUUUGAGCUGAGGAGUAGAAUACGUAAAAUACUACGGUAUUUAAGUAAUUGAUGUCAUACUUCCUAGAAAAAUUUUGUAAUUUGAUGAUAAUGUUAAAUCUGUACCGCAAACUGACACAGGUGGGCUAGUAGAGAAUACUAAGGAGAGCAAGAUAACCCUUUCAAAGGAACUCGGCCAAAUAACUCUGUAACUUCGGAAGAAAGAGUGCCUCGUAAAAGAGGUCGCAGUUACCAGGUCCAUGCGACUGUUUACCAAAAACACAGGUCUCCGUUAAGUUGAAAAACGAAAUAUGGGGGCUGACGCCUGCCCAGUGCCGGAAGGUUAAAGAAAUUGGUUAGUUUUUGCGAAGCUAAUGACUGAAGCCCUGGUGAACGGCGGCGAUAACUAUAAUCGUCCUAAGGUAGCGAAAUUCCUUGUCAGGUAAGUUCUGACCCGCACGAAAGGCGUAACGAUAUGGACACUGUCUCUGAAAGGGACUUGGCGAAAUAGAAUUGUCUGUGAAGAUGCGGACUACUUGCACUUGGACAGAAAGACCCUAUGAAGCUUCACUCUAGUUUGAAAUUGAUUUUGGAUUUUCUCUGCGCAGAAUAGGUGGGAGGCGUUGAACUUAUUUUUCGGAAAAAGGGAGCCUUAAUAUGAGAUACCACUCUUUGAAAAUUUGGAAUCUAAUGACAUUAAGAUAAUGUUUGAAAGUUUCAGAUGGGGAGUUUUACUGGGGCGGUAGCCUCCUAAAAGGUAACGGAGGCGUACAAAGGUUUUCUCAGUCUAAAUGGAAAUUAGAUGUAGAGUGUAAAGAUAUAAGAAAGCUUGACUGUUAGACCUAUAAGUCGCGCAGGGACGAAAGUCUGUCUUAGUGAUCCGACAGUUCUGAAUGGAAAGGCUGUCGCUCAACAGAUAAAAGUUACUCUAGGGAUAACAGGCUGAUCUCCCCCAAGAGUUCACAUCGACGGGGAGGUUUGGCACCUCGAUGUCGGCUCAUCACAUCCUGGAGGGGUAUUUUCUUCCAAGGGUUGGGCUGUUCGCCCACUUAAAGUGGUACGUGAGCUGGGUUCAGAACGUCGAGAGACAGUUCGGUCCAUAUCCGGUGUGAGCGGUAGAGUAUUGAAAUUCGCUUUCCUUAGUACGAGAGGACCGGGGAAGACACACCUCUGGUGUUCCAGUUUUCGUGCCAACGGAAGACGCUGGGUAGCUAAGUGUG